CUUGGCACUAGGAGCCGAUGAAGGACGGGACGAACACCGAUAUGCUUCGGGGAGCUGUAAGCAAGCUUUGAUCCGGAGAUUUCCGAAUGGGGAAACCCACCACUCGUAAUGGAGUGGUAUCCAUAUCUGAAUACAUAGGAUAUGAGAAGGCAGACCCGGGGAACUGAAACAUCUAAGUACCCGGAGGAAGAGAAAGCAAAUGCGAUUCCCUGAGUAGCGGCGAGCGAAACGGGACCAGCCCAAACCAAGAGGCUUGCCUCUUGGGGUUGUAGGACACUCUGUACGGAGUUACAAAGGAACAAGGUAGAUGAAGAGGUCUGGAAAGGCCCGCCAUAGGAGGUAACAGCCCUGUAGUCAAAACUUCGUUCUCUCCUGAGUGGAUCCUGAGUACGGCGG
rnacentral:rRNA from 1 species